rnacentral:piRNA from 1 species
UGCAAAGAUUUUAUUAAAAUC